rnacentral:lncRNA from 1 species
UUCAAGUAUCCAAUAUUUGCAAGUUAAAGAUAGAAAGAAUUUAUACUUACAUGCAUAUAUUUGACUCCAAAUACUCACCAAAUUAUUUUACUCAACUAAUAUUGAACAAUAAGCUAUUGGGAUCAUUGGGGCUUUGUGGCUUUCAAUUGUUAGGCUCUUUGGUUCGAGGUAGGUAAUAUGGGAAUGUGUGGCUAAUUUUCUUGAAUUGAGGUGAUUACGCCAAACUUUGAAAGAUAGGCGUUUGAAACAAUGAAUUCACCUCUAGGGACUUUUAAUAAACUCGAUUCUCCAAAAUUCACACGUCAACACUUUU